rnacentral:rRNA from 1 species
GACGUAGGGCGCGAGCGUUGUCCGGAUUUAUUGGGCGUAAAGAGCUCGUAGGCGGCUUGUUGCGUCGGCUGUGAAAACCCAUGGCUCAACCGUGGGCUUGCAGCCGAUACGGGCAGGCUAGAGUUCGGUAGGGGGAGACUGGAAUUCCUGGUGUAGCGGUGAAAUGCGCAGAUAUCAGGAGGAACACCGGUGGCGAAGGCGGGUCUCUGGGCCGAUACUGACGCUGAGGAGCGAAAGCGUGGGGAGCGAACAGG